AUGACCGGUGGCAAGAUCCAGAAGAAGCGCCACGGUGGCGGCGGCGGGGGCGGUGGCGCGCGGCUGCAGGGUGGGAUCCCGUUCGAGAAGUCCAAGGGCCAGCACAUCCUGCGGAACCCGGCGCUGGUGGACUCCAUCAUCGCCAAGGCCGGCCUCAAGCCCACUGACACCGUCCUCGAGAUCGGACCCGGAACGGGAAAUCUCACCAAGCGGCUGCUCGAGGCCGGCGUCAAGGCCGUUGUUGCCGUCGAGCUCGACCCGCGGAUGGUUCUCGAGCUGAGCCGCAGGUUCCAGGGCCACCCCCUCUCCUCUCGCCUCAAGGUUAUCCAAGGAGAUGUUCUUAAAUGUGAUCUUCCUUACUUCGAUAUCUGCGUGGCAAACAUCCCAUACCAGAUAUCAUCCCCCCUUACAUUCAAGCUUCUGUCACACCGUCCGAUCUUCAGGUGUGCUGUGAUCAUGUUUCAACGUGAAUUUGCCAUGAGACUUGUAGCACAGCCUGGAGACACUCUGUACUGCCGUCUGUCAGUGAACGUGCAGCUCUUAUCUCGCGUGUCACAUCUGCUGAAGGUUGGACGGAAUAACUUCAGGCCUCCACCUAAGGUAGAUUCCUCAGUUGUGCGUAUCGAGCCAAGGAAGCCCCUCCCUCCUGUCAGCUUCAAGGAGUGGGAUGGACUCGUGAGGAUUUGCUUCAAUCGGAAAAACAAAACGCUGGGCUCCCUUUUCAAGCAGAAGCGCGUCCUCGAGCUGCUAGAGAAGAAUUACAAGACAAUGCAAUCUCUCCAGCUUGCCCAAGAUCCUGAAACGGGGGAGGAGAAGAUGUCACCCGACGAUGUCGCGUUGCUGGCCAAUAUGGUCGAGGACCUGAGCAUGGAGACCAGUGACGAGAAAGAGGACGAUGACAUGGAAAUGGAUGACUCCGACGCGGCAGAUGGCCGUGCUAGCUUCAAGGAGAAGAUUAUGGGUAUAUUGCAGCAGGGUGAUUUUGCAGAGAAGAGGUCUUCCAAGUUGAGCCAGGUUGAUUUCCUCUACCUGCUCUCUCUGUUCAACAAGGCAGGUAUACAUUUUUCGUGA
rnacentral:rRNA from 1 species